AUACGGAGGGUGCAAGCGUUGUUCGGAAUCACUGGGCGUAAAGGGCGCGCAGGCGGUUCGGUAAGUCAGAUGUGAAAGCCCACGGCUCAACCGUGGAAGUGCAUUUGAAACUGUCAGACUUGAGUACUAGAGGGGAAAGUGGAAUUCCCGGUGUAGAGGUGAAAUUCGUAGAUAUCGGGAGGAAUACCGGUGGCGAAGGCGACUUUCUGGCUAGAUACUGACGCUGAGGCGCGAAAGCGUGGGGAGCAAACAGGAUUAGAAACCCUAGUAGUCC
rnacentral:rRNA from 1 species